rnacentral:rRNA from 1 species
UACAGAGGUGGCAAGCGUUGUUCGGAAUUACUGGGCGUAAAGGGCGCGUAGGCGGACAGUUUAGUCAGAGGUGAAAGCCCAGGGCUCAACCUUGGAAUUGCCUUUGAUACUGGCUGUCUUGAGUUCGGGAGAGGUGAGUGGAAUGCCGAGUGUAGAGGUGAAAUUCGUAGAUAUUCGGAAGAACACCAGUGGCGAAGGCGACUUACUGGACACAUAUUGACGCUGAGGUGCGAAAGCGUGGGGAGCAAACAGG